UACAUAGGGGGCAAGCAUUAUCCGGAAUUACUGGGUGUAAAGGGUGCGUAGGCGGCCAGAUAAGUCAGAUGUGAAAACCUUGAGCUUAACUUAAGGAAUGCAUUUGAAACUAUUAGGCUAGAGUACAGGAGAGGUAAGUGGAAUUUCUAGUGUAGCGGUAAAAUGCGUAGAUAUUAGGAAGAACACCAGUGGCGAAGGCGACUUACUGGACUGAAACUGACGCUGAGGCACGAAAGCGUGGGGAGCGAACAGG
rnacentral:rRNA from 1 species